CCCCCUCCAUCAGCCUCUGCCUUGCCCCCUAGCUAUUACUGUUGGUCAACACCUGUCUUGUACCAGCCCUCCAACAAGGUCGCUGUAGUGCAAAUAGGCUGACUGUUGCUGACUGACUGCUGGCUCCUGAUAGGCUCCUCUCGGAAAGGGAAGGCUCGGGUCCCAGGGUCAUUUUCGGAAAGGCGAGGAGACUGUGUUUGGUUUCGCUCCUGGGACCAGUCUGAGAAGAGGAAAGAGAAGCAAAUGAAGAAAAAGAGAGAAACAGUAGCUUUUAACACAGUGUAGACCGGGGGGUUGUUUUAACACAGUGUAGGCAGGGGGUUGUUUUAACACAGUGUAGGCAGGGGGCUGUUUUAACACAGUGUAGACAGGGGGUUGUUUUAAGACAGUGUAGACAGGGGGUUGUUUUAACACAGUGUAGACAGGGGGUUGUUUUAACACAGUGUAGGCAGGGGGUUGUUUUAACACAGUGUAGACAGGGGGUUGUUUUAACACAGUGUAGACAGAGGGUUGUUUUAACACAGUGUAGACAGAGGGUUGUUUUAACACAGUGUAGACAGGGGGUUGUUUUAACACAGUGUAGACAGAGGGUUGUUUUAACACAGUGUAGGCAGGGGGUUGUUUUAACACAGUGUAGACAGGGGGUUGUUUUAACACAGUGUAGACAGAGGGUUGUUUUAACACAGUCUAGACAGGGGGCUGUUUUAACACAGUUGUGUGAGUUGUGGCUUAUGAACUUCUACUUCUGGUAGGUUCUUAUCUCGGGCUCCUGAUUGGCUCAUUGCGGUCUAAGGCACUGCAUCUCUGGUGCUACAGGCGUCACUACAGACCCUGGUUCGAUUCCAGGCUGUAUCCACCACCGGCCGUGAUUGGGAGUCCCAUAAGGCAUAACACAAUUGGCUGUCUGCGUUUUGCCGGGGAUAGGCUGUCAUUGUAAAUAUGAAUUUGUUCUUCACUGACUUGUCUAGUUAAAUAAAGCUUAAUAAAUAAAAUAAAGUACCAGGAGAGUGAGCACUGCCAUUGAUUAGAGCACACACACACACAGC
ensembl:lncRNA